UCUGGCUGCGACAUCUGUCACCCCAUUGAUCACCAAGGUUGAUUCGGCUAUCUGGCUGGCUAGGCGGGUGUCCCCUUCCUCCCUCACCGCUCCAUGUGUGUCCCUCCUGAAGCUGCGUGCUCGCUCGAAGAGGACGUCCUUCCCCGAAUAGAGGAGGACCGGUCUUCGGUCAAGGGUAUAUGAGUAGCUGCGCUCCCCUGCUA
rnacentral:snRNA from 1 species